GCUUGCAUCAUGAUUUACAUUUGAGUGAGUGGCGAACUGGUGAGUAACACGUGGGAAACCUGCCCAGAAGCGGGGGAUAACACCUGGAAACAGAUGCUAAUACCGCAUAACAACUUGGACCGCAUGGUCCGAGUUUGAAAGAUGGCUUCGGCUAUCACUUUUGGAUGGUCCCGCGGCGUAUUAGCUAGAUGGUGGGGUAACGGCUCACCAUGGCAAUGAUACGUAGCCGACCUGAGAGGGUAAUCGGCCACAUUGGGACUGAGACACGGCCCAAACUCCUACGGGAGGCAGCAGUAGGGAAUCUUCCACAAUGGACGAAAGUCUGAUGGAGCAACGCCGCGUGAGUGAAGAAGGGUUUCGGCUCGUAAAACUCUGUUGUUAAAGAAGAACAUAUCUGAGAGUAACUGUUCAGGUAUUGACGGUAUUUAACCAGAAAGCCACGGCUAACUACGUGCCAGCAGCCGCGGUAAUACGUAGGUGGCAAGCGUUGUCCGGAUUUAUUGGGCGUAAAGCGAGCGCAGGCGGUUUUUUAAGUCUGAUGUGAAAGCCUUCGGCUCAACCGAAGAAGUGCAUCGGAAACUGGGAAACUUGAGUGCAGAAGAGGACAGUGGAACUCCAUGUGUAGCGGUGAAAUGCGUAGAUAUAUGGAAGAACACCAGUGGCGAAGGCGGCUGUCUGGUCUGUAACUGACGCUGAGGCUCGAAAGUAUGGGUAGCAAACAGGAUUAGAUACCCUGGUAGUCCAUACCGUAAACGA
rnacentral:rRNA from 2 species